rnacentral:rRNA from 1 species
UACGUAGGGGGCAAGCGUUGUCCGGAAUCAUUGGGCGUAAAGCGCGCGUAGGCGGCCCGGUAAGUCGGGUGUGAAACCUCCAGGCUCAACCUGGAGACGCCACCCGAUACUGCUGUGACUCGAGUCCGGUAGGGGAGCGUGGAAUUCCUGGUGUAGCGGUGAAAUGCGCAGAUAUCAGGAGGAACACCGGUGGCGAAGGCGGCUUGCUGGGCCAGUUCUGACGCUGAGGAGCGAAAGCGUGGGGGAGCGAACAGG